rnacentral:tRNA from 3 species
GCCCAGGUGGCGGAACUGGCAGACGCGCUGCGUUCAGGGCGCAGUGCCCCGCGCGGGCGUGCGGGUUCGAAUCCCGCCCUGGGCACCA